rnacentral:snoRNA from 1 species
AUUAAAUUAUUAAUCCAUCCCGGACCUGAUUUCGUUUGAAUGAAACUCGUAUACGGAUCUGACUUCUGAUGU